GUAUUCCUAACAAAACAGAGGCCUGACAAGGAAGAAUACAUGUUGACAGCAUUUCUUAGGAUACGCUUCAAGGAACCCAUUAAAACAUCUCCACAGGCUACAGACUUCAAUCAGCAGAAGAUGUUCUGGAUCCCGUGUACCGUGGGGCUGAGCUUCCCAGUGACCCCAGCACAGCAGCCAACACUGCAUGGCCGGAGUAAUUAAACAGAUCGUGUUGCAGGAGAAGCCACCCCCCCACCCCCAAAUCCAUGUUCUUAUACUUUUGGAAAUGCCUUCUGUCUGCUCUCAUCAGCGACAACACUUCUGAGAUGGUUUGGAAAUAUUUAUGCAGCCAAUCCCGGUUACAAACAUCGGCAGUAGGGAAGAAGUCAAUGGAAAUCGGAGAGACAAUUAAACAAGACUCUGAGGAAAAAAAUAAGGCAUAGCAGAAAACACACAGCAAGCAUGCCAGAGAUGGUAGGAGUAGGCCAGAGUAUAGACAUGCAUCGGAGGCGAUAGCUCAAGGCCCUGGGCUGUAAAGGCAGAACUAGUUUCCUGUCAAGGAGAGAAUUUUGUUUUGCUGUGUUCAGCCUGGUGCUCAUCUGCAUGGCUGAAACUUGUACUUCUCUGGGUGUGACAUAGGCAGGACGGUGGGGCUAGCUCCCAGAAAAGGAAGUUUUGCUCUUCUUUCCCCUCAUGGGACUGUGUUAAUGUGCUGCCAGGUCACUAGCAGUUUGUAAUCAUGUUUGUGUCCACGGUGACAAG
rnacentral:lncRNA from 1 species